UCUCUCUCUCCCCCCUUGGAAAUGAGAUACUGUUUCUGGCAUCGCAGCCUUGAGCCUGACUGGACUGGGACUGGAGACUGGCCUGGGGACCAGGGUGUGAGCUCAGGGUGGGGCUGCAUGCAGGUGGCCUGCCCGUUGACUGAAGAAUAUCCCCAUGAGGUGAGAGGCCACCCGCCCUGCCCACCUUUCAGCCCCUGAGAAGAUACAACAUCUUCCCGGGAAAUAAGACAGUGAAAGCAUUCCUCUUCUAAACUCGAAAUAAUAAACCGAGGUGCAGCACUGAGUCCUCACAUUGUGUGGUUCUGUUGCUCCUGGAACCAGGGUGGAGGGAAAGCAGAACUGUUCUGUCGUCUGUGGGACUUCCCUAGAGUGUUCCCAAGCGGUGCCAAGGCUUGAUCUCAGGACUAGGUACAUGAUAAGAGUGAAGACGUUUUACCCUUUUUCUUUACCGCUAACAAAUUAAUCUUUGAAAAUGGAGGAACUUGUAAUUUCAGUGAAAAGACAGAAAAAGGAUUUAUUUAUCAGGGAGAGAGGAGCAAGAGGAGGAGGAAGAAGAGGAAGAGGAGGAGAACCAAAGCAUCUCUCUGGCAUAUGCACUGCAGGGGAUCAAACUCAGGACCUCAAGUUUGAGGAUCCAACACUCUGCAUCACCUCCCAGGCCACCCUAACUUCUUUUAUUUAUUUUCUAUUUUUUUAAUUUUAUUUUUUAUAUUUAUUUAUUCCCUUUUGUUGCCCUUGUUGUUUUAUUGUUGUAGUUAUUAUUGUUGUUAUUGAUGUCAUUGUUGGAUAGAACAGAGAGAAAUUGAGAGAGGGGGAGAGAAAGAUAGACACCUGCAGACCUGCUUCACCACCUGUGAAGCGACUCCCCUGCAGGUGGGGAGCCGGGGGCUGAAACCGGGAUCCUUAUGCCGGUCCUUGCGCUUUGUGCCACGUGCGCUUAUCCUGCUGUGCUACCGCCCAACUCCCUUAUUAUUAUUAUUAUUUUUUAACGAGACAGAGAGAAAUGGAGAGGAGAAAAGGAGGAGAUACAGAGGGAGAAAGAGAGAAAGGGAAAGAAAGACAGAGACAUGCAGCACUGCUUUGCCACUCGUCACAUAGCCCUCCUGCAAAUAGGAGCCAGGGAGAUGAGCCUGCAUCCAUGGUAACGUCUGCGCUGCCUGACCCCAUCCUAACCAUUUUCUAUAUUGAAAAGUCUCAGGUUCAAUCUUGGCACCAGCAUGAGGCAAAGCUCUCUCCACCCCCACUCACAUUAAAAAAAAAAAAAAAUGAAUAGCUAAAUGUAUGAAUGAAUGAGGUGCCCCAGGAGGUGCCUCAGUGGAUAGAACUUUCGAUUAAAAAGUAGCAAGUCUUGAGUUCAGUCCCCAGCAUCACAUGUAUCCGAGUGAUGCUCUGCUUCUCUCUUCCCCUCUCUCUCGUGUUCAUAAAUAAAUCUCGGGGGUGGGGAGUGGUGCACCUGGUUAAGCACACAUAUCACCAAGCACAAGGACCUGGGUUCGAGCCCCUGCUCCCUAUCUGCAGGGGGAAAGCUUCACAAGUGGUGAAGCAGGUCUGCAGGUGUCUUAUCUUUCUCUCCCUCUAUUUCCUGAUCCCCUUCAAUUCCUCUCUGUCCUAUCU